UGUCGUUCCGACUCAAGAUUUCUUGUUUGAGAAGACGCUCUGCUACCUAAAAGAGUCGGCCAUACUUGCAAACAAAUUGUCAGAUACGAUGGCGCGGUGCUCGCUAGUCUUCGGCAGGGGUCUCUACUCACCACCAGCGGUGGGGGCUUGACAUGAAGCAAUAGAUUCCUCCAAUAUUUGAAUUCGUUGCGAAAAAUGAUUUGGAUUCCUGAGACCAAAAUACAUAGGAUUAUCAUGGAAAACUCCAUGAAAAAAAUUCGGAAUCAUCAUCUCAAAUUUUGAGAAAACUCCAAGGCUAUAGGCUUACCGUUUUUUCGGGCUGAAAGGUGAAAUAUUUGCCAGAAUAAUUCCAGGACGUUUGUCUGAUGUAAAAAUGCGCAACGAACACGAAGCCGUCCAUCAAAUUGAGCUGGCAUCAAAUCCCAACGAUUUGUAUUCCUGAGACCAAAAUACAUAGGAUUAUCAUGGAAAACUCCAUGAAAACAAUUCGGAAUCAUCAUCUCAAAUUUUGAGAAAACUCCAAGGCUAUAGGCUUACCGUUUUUUCGGGCUGAAAGGUGAACUAUUUGCCAGAACAAUUCCAGGACGCUUAUCUGAUGAAAAAAUGCACAACGAACACGAAGCCGUCCAUCAAAUUGAGCUGGCAUCAAAUCCCAACGGAGAGCAUUGAGGCAUCGAGAUCACUGAGUCAACGGUGGCACCACACCCGCAUAGAAAAUACAAGACUAUCCUCGAUGCAUUUACACCACUGGAUUAUACAAUAUCCUGUAGUUUGGUGAA
rnacentral:lncRNA from 1 species